rnacentral:rRNA from 1 species
UACGUAGGGUGCAAGCGUUGUCCGGAAUUAUUGGGCGUAAAGAGCUCGUAGGCGGUCUGUCGCGUCGGAUGUGAAAAUCCAGGGCUCAACCCUGGACCUGCAUUCGAUACGGGCAGACUAGAGUUCGGCAGGGGAGACUGGAAUUCCUGGUGUAGCGGUGAAAUGCGCAGAUAUCAGGAGGAACACCGGUGGCGAAGGCGGGUCUCUGGGCCGAUACUGACGCUGAGGUGCGAAAGCGUGGGGAGCAAACAGG